UCGCCUGUUUAUCAAAAACAUAUUUUAUUGUUUAUAUAAUAAAUAUAACCUGCCCAAUGAUUUAUUAAAUGGCUGCAGUAUUUUGACUGUACAAAGGUAGCAUAAUAAUUUGUCUCUUGAUUAGAGUCUAGGAUGAAUGGUUGAAUGAAAGAUGAUCUUUCUUUAUAUUAUAAAUUGAAUUUAGCUUUUAAGUUAAAAGGCUUAAAUUUGUUUAAGGGACGAGAAGACCCUAUAGAAUUUUAUUAUUUGGUUAAUCAAGGUAUUUUUGAUAAUAUAUUAUUUUGAUUGAUUUUAUAAUUUUGUUGGGGUGACAGAAAAAAUAUAAUAACUUUUUUUUAUUAAUUCAUUUAUUUAUGGUUUAUAUUAUCCUCUUUUUGAGAAUUAAGAUUAAAUUACCUUAGGGAUAACAGCGUUAUUGCUUUGGAGAGUUCUUAUCGAUAAAGUAGUUUGCGACCUCGAUGUUGGAUUAAAAUAAGUGAUAGGAGUAUAAUUUUAUCAUUAAAGUCUGUUCGACUUUUAAAUUUUUACAUGAUCUGAGUUCAAACCGGAGA
rnacentral:rRNA from 1 species